rnacentral:rRNA from 1 species
UAAGAGUUUGAUCAUGGCUCAGAUUGAACGCUGGCGGCGUGCUUAACACAUGCAAGUCGAGCGGUAACAGGCGUAGCAAUACGUGCUGACGAGCGGCGAACGGGUGCGUAAUACAUGGGAAUCUGCCCUUUGGUGGGGAAUAACCCGGCGAAAGCCGGGCUAAUGCCGCAUGAGAUCUUCGGAUGAAAGCGGGGGACCGUAAGGCCUCGCGCCGAUGGAUGAGCCCAUGUCGGAUUAGCUAGUUGGUGAGGUAACGGCUCACCAAGGCGACGAUCCGUAGCUGGUCUGAGAGGACGGCCAGCCACACUGGGACUGAGACACGGCCCAGACUCCUACGGGAGGCAGCAGUGGGGAAUAUUGGACAAUGGGCGAAAGCCUGAUCCAGCAAUGCCGCGUGAGUGAUGAAGGCCUUAGGGUUGUAAAGCUCUUUUACCCGGGAUGAUAAUGACAGUACCGGGAGAAUAAGCUCCGGCUAACUCCGUGCCAGCCGCCGCGGUAAUAC